UACGGAGGGUGCAAGCGUUAAUCGGAAUUACUGGGCGUAAAGCGCACGCAGGCGGUCUGUCAAGUCGGAUGUGAAAUCCCCGGGCUCAACCUGGGAACUGCAUCCGAAACUGGCAGGCUAGAGUCUUGUAGAGGGGGGUAGAAUUCCAGGUGUAGCGGUGAAAUGCGUAGAGAUCUGGAGGAAUACCGGUGGCGAAGGCGGCCCCCUGGCCUAAGACUGACGCUCAUGUUCGAAAGCAUGAUGACCAAACAGG
rnacentral:misc_RNA from 1 species